rnacentral:lncRNA from 1 species
CCAUUUUUCUACCACCAAUGAAAUUAGGUCCCCCAUGCUUUCAUUGUGCUACUCUGAUUUAGUAUCCUCGAUCAACCCUUUCAUCCCCCUUAAUUAAUCAGAAACAAAUGAAAUAGGAGGACCAAAUGUCCUCAUCAUCCUAGAUUCCUAAAAUGCAUCAAAAAAAAAUUUCUCCACUCACUAUAGUUUCCUAGACCUUAAUAUAUUUUGCACGUCAACAUAUCAAAUAUUUCAAUGAUCCUCAAACCAUGCUCUGAUACCACCUCUGUCACGCCCCUCAAAA